CAGAGAGAGAUCCCUUUGAGAGCGUCCGUCGAUCCGGCUGAGCCACGCGAGGCGGUGAGAUCCGAGAGCCUCCAAUCGGCGGUGGCAGCGACGCUGCUCUUCGACGGCGUUCGGCGCGAUUUGUGACGACAGGGAAUCGAACAGAGCUGCUUCGCCGAUUCGCGAUUGGAUCCAGAGAUCCAAUCAAGGGUUUCAAACGCACCAGAUGAUGAGCCGAUCAGAGAGAGAGAGAGUCCCCGAGACCAUUCGGCCGU
rnacentral:lncRNA from 1 species